rnacentral:rRNA from 1 species
ACCGGCAUCUAGCUCUCUGCAACUCUCACAUGGUCGCCACUACAGCUAAGCAGGGCUGCGCCCAACCAGUACCUGGAUGGGAGACCACAUGAUAAAGCUCGGUUGCUGCCGGAA